AAAAAACACUUCGUAAAUAAUAGUAUAGAUAGAUAGAUCUAACUAUGGUUCAUAUGUUAUAUGGAAUAUACAGUUUUGAUAGAAUAAGCUAUGGAAAAUAUUUUUUGAUUGGCAAAAAAAUUAUUUUACAAUUAUAUUAAAUAAAUACUAAAUGUAUUGUAAAUUGUUUUCUUUUUUUUUUCUUUUUUUGUUUAAUCUGGGGGUAUCCCGGGCCGAGGCCCAGACUAAUCCCCAAGGGGAUGUACAGCCCACAGAUGGACCCUCUCUCCGGGUUUUCAAAUGGGUCGAAAGCAUGGCCCAUAUCCGCGUGGCCACAAGUCAGGGUAAUCUGAGUGGCAACGGAUUCGAACCCAGGUCCCUUAGAGAUCCUGGAACACCAUGUACCACCUGACCACUGACUCGUGGUUUGUAAAUUGUUUUCUAAUUUACAGUUUUCAUUUCAUAUAUUUUCUCAACAUUUUUACCAAAAAAUAUAUAUUUUAAUAUGGACUAUUUCAUUAUUUUGCGAGUUUGAUUGAUUUUUGACUAAUUUUCUUACCAACCCAAAUAUGGUUUUCAAUAUCUAUCUAUAUAUAUAAAGUUGGCUUUUUUAUCUCCAUAGGGGGAAAAUCGCCACCUGUCCCAUCAUUAAAACAUACUUUCGAAACUAUUCUUAAUGGGUUGUUGUAGGGCCAUAGAAACAAGUGAUAUUACGAGGUAAGAUAAUCUCUUUAUGCAAUUACCUGGCCCACAUCGGUUCAAGAUUUUUCCGUUACGAUUGAAUCAGAGUUUCGUCUGAGAAGAAGACGAACCCUAAUCCGCUGAUACUUUCGUCAUGUUUUUCAUUGGCUCAGUUGGUACAUGAUUUUUUCACCAUAAUUUGUCAGGAAAAUCGGCAGUCAGCUAACUCGAAAAUGCCGUGUAAGAAAAACCGCAUCUGUUUCCUCCGGUCAGCUUCUUCCAUAAGAGGAAGCAUAUCGGCGAGUGCGGAGAGAAAAAACAGAGGGAUGAUGGGUAUUACGCAUAAAAGAAACGCCACCGUUGAAGAUAAGAAAAUUUCCAUGGCCGCAGCUUCAGCCAUUAAUGGCAGCAGAAGGAAAUCACUUGGUGGGAGGACAUCACUUGGUGGUUUCGGGGUUUGUUUGUGUUACGGCCCCCUGCUGAUCAAUAUUGAUCACUUCUUAUCAUUGAGAAUGAUUUGUGUGUAGCAUGAAGCUAUGCAGAAAAGCUAAAAGCUUUUCAAAAUAUAAGGAGAAGCUGAAAAAUCUGGAGAUUGGCAGAGAACGUGUUGCCUCUGAUUCCAUACAGCCAUUGACUGAAACGUUAUUAGCUAGCUUGGAAGCACCGACUCAAGAAGACAAGCAUUAGGCUCACAAGCCAAAGAUCCUAAGCUGAGUCAGUCAUGCUUAUGCAUUUCUCUGCUGUUUUAACCUUUAAACAUAUACGUACUUCAAAACUCUAACUUUUUGUGCAAUUCACUAUGAUAUGUGCAGCUCAUUUUUAAGGCACAUUUACCUAUCUACAUGGACACUAGAUCAGAGAACCAACCAGAGUCAGACAAGUCAAACCAGAGUUUGGUUCUUAUCUCAUGCUUGAGGCAGCACACAGAGGAACGAGGAAAAUAAUUCCUUAGCUGGAAACUGGACAACACAAGGUUUUUAUCGACAAAGAAGAAUGUAUAGAGUAAGUGAGAAUAUCAAAGUUAUCUUCUUACCCCCUUUUCACCUUAGAAUUGAGCGGGAAGAAAGAUUAAAACAUCUCAUCAUCAUCAAAUUCUCUGCCGUUUGAUGAUGACCUUGAGAUUAAGGAGUAGUUACAUGAAUCAAGUUUCUGUGGAGGAUGAUGUGGUCUACAAUGCAGUGGUUGAAGUUUUAGGCAGAUCAGUUGAAACUAUUAUAUACUAUUUUGUAUGUAUCUCAAACAUAUUUCAAUUUCAAACAAUAAUAUAUUCAAAUAUAAAAUUUAGCU